UCACUCAGGUUUCUCUUCAGAUCGGUAUAAAUCUUUUUCGCCUUUUACUAAAGAUUUCCGUGGAGAGGAGUAAUAUGAGUUUCAACCAAUUUUUUGAUGCUCUGCCGUAAGGUGGGGCU
ensembl:snRNA U5 U5 spliceosomal RNA